UGAGGAAUAUUGGUCAAUGGACGCAAGUCUGAACCAGCCACGUCGCGUGAAGGAAGACGGCCCUACGGGUUGUAAACUUCUUUUGUAAGGGAAUAAAGUGAGCCACGUGUGGCUUUUUGCAUGUACCUUACGAAUAAGGAUCGGCUAACUCCGUGCCAGCAGCCGCGGUAAUACGGAGGAUCCGAGCGUUAUCCGGAUUUAUUGGGUUUAAAGGGUGCGCAGGCGGGAGAUUAAGUCGGCGGUGAAAUUUUGCAGCUCAACUGUAAAAGUGCCUUCGAAACUGGUUUCCUUGAGUGUAGAUGAAGUAGGCGGAAUUUGUGGUGUAGCGGUGAAAUGCAUAGAUAUCACGAGGAACUCCGAUUGCGAAGGCAGCUUACUAAGCUACUACUGACGCUCAGGCACGAAGGCGUGGGGAUCAAACAGG
rnacentral:rRNA from 2 species